ACCUAUGAACCAGUGGCAGUAUCGCAGCCAAUGAGGUUUAUCCAAGACGCGAUUAUUGCUAAUUGAACCUACAUUUUAUAAAUG
rnacentral:snRNA from 1 species